rnacentral:tRNA from 1 species
GGAGAGAUGGCUGAGCUGGUCUAAGGCGCACGACUGGAAAUCGUGUAAGGGCUAAUAACUCUUCGGGGGUUCGAAUCCCCCUCUCUCCGCCA